ACUGUUUUCUUUUAAAGCAAGGUUUUAAGCUGAAAUUUCUCCCAGCCUGAGAGGGUUUGUUUUUUUUUUCUCCCUAAGAGAAUUUAUGUUUGAUGAUUUAUUGAAAGUGUCCCAACAGAAAAAAAAACUGGUUUUCAUUAGUUAGAAGCAACGAGUAGCACCCUGAACAAUGCAAGAUGAGUUUUAUGCUUUUACAUUUCAAAAUUUCCGUGAGCUGGUUAGUCCGUGGAGCCUAGGGCUUUGAUCAAUUUACCAACAAAUGAUAUGUUGCCAGUCUGCUAAGGCUGUUUGUUACUCCUCAGGUACUUUAGAUAGUAUACAUGAAAAGAUAUAAAUAUGCAUUAAAAAACAACCUGCCAGCAAUGCAAUUCAUAUAUAGUAGUUUGCAAAUUCUAAAAGGGUUGUGUGCCAAGAGAUCGCUUGGGUCUCAGAAUGUGUUACCCGUAUAAAGUGACGAGAUUUUCAGCAGAGCCCAGGAAGCAAUUUGAUUCAUCAUGAGGUGAAAUACUAUCAAUAGAUUCACUGAGUUCCAGAAUCUCUUGGGAAGCCCCGACUGUGCAGGGCUCUCCAACACUCCAUGGGGCUGGGGCAGGUGGGGGUUUAGGGAGGUGGGGUGGGAACUGGUGGUUUCCAUGGCAGCAAGAACUGGGCGGGGGGAGGGGGGGUGGGCGGUGCCCGCGGUGCCCUGAGGGUGACAGAAAGGUGGGAAACUGCCCAAGUCUGAGUUCUAGAGCCUCAGUUUCCAUGUUCUGCCAAUUCCUGGAUAUCUGAGUUAGGCUUCUUUGGGCCACAAGUAAUAGAAAUGGGGAACUUGAGACCAGGGGUUCGAGGGUAGCGCAGGAAGAGCCUCCCAAAGACUGAAGCAGGCACUAUAGAACCGACUUGGGGGUGGUCUGCUCCCCUCGCCUGCUCCCUGCACAUCUGCUACAUUUCUUCCUCAUGCGGUAUAGGCUCUGGUUUCUAAAUUUUCUUCUCUUUCGUUCAGCAGAUGCCGACUGGGGUCUGGCAAUUGCCAAAGAGGAAGCAUUUGGGGAGCUCAAAUUAGGGGAGCCAGCCUGUGGAGGGGAAGGGAAUUCCCCCCAGAAGAGCCGCGUCCGAUGGCAGAUCCUGCAAAAAGUAGUCCUGUGGCUUCCAAAGGUACUCUAGGACCAGAAUCAGCUGCCUGACACCUUGAACCCUGGACCAGAGCUGCCUGAACGUGACAUUCAAAUCAGGAAUAGCAUUGUUUGGAAGCACCCCAAAUGUUCUGCAGUAGAUGACUGCCGUGUAGCCCCAAGUUUCUGCUUUCAUCAGCAAUGGCGGUCUCCCUGUGUGUCCGUCUUCAUGCAGUGGUCUUCUUAGAAGCACAGGAGUCCGAUGGAUCGGGACCCACCUACUCCAGUAGGACCUCACCUUAACUAACUACACCUGCAGUGACUCUGUUUCCCAAAUAAGGUCACAUU